rnacentral:rRNA from 1 species
CCUACGGGAGGCAGCAGUGGGGAAUAUUGGGCAAUGGACGCAAGUCUGACCCAGCAACGCCGCGUGAAGGAAGAAGGCUUUCGGGUUGUAAACUUCUUUUAUGGGGGAAGAGCAGAAGACGGUACCCCUUGAAUAAGCCACGGCUAACUACGUGCCAGCAGCCGCGGUAAUACGUAGGUGGCAAGCGUUGUCCGGAUUUACUGGGUGUAAAGGGCGUGCAGCCGGAGAGGCAAGUCAGAUGUGAAAUCCGAGGGCUCAACUCGCGAACUGCAUUUGAAACUGCUUGCCUUGAGUAUCGGAGAGGUAAUCGGAAUUCCUAGUGUAGCGGUGAAAUGCGUAGAUAUUAGGAAGAACACCAGUGGCGAAGGCGGAUUACUGGACGACAACUGACGGUGAGGCGCGAAAGCGUGGGGAGCAAACAGGAUUAGAUACCCGUGUAGUC